rnacentral:rRNA from 1 species
GACGAACGCUGGCGGCGUGCCUAAUACAUGCAAGUUGAGCGCUGAAGGUUGGUACUUGUACCAACUGGAUGAGCAGCGAACGGGUGAGUAACGCGUGGGGAAUCUGCCUUUGAGCGGGGGACAACAUUUGGAAACGAAUGCUAAUACCGCAUAAAAACUUUAAACACAAGUUUUAAGUUUGAAAGAUGCAAUUGCAUCACUCAAAGAUGAUCCCGCGUUGUAUUAGCUAGUUGGUGAGGUAAAGGCUCACCAAGGCGAUGAUACAUAGCCGACCUGAGAGGGGGGUCCGCCAACAUGGGGACUGGGACCCGGCCCAACCCCUUCCGGGAGGAGCAGGAAGGAAAUCUUCGGCAAUGAACGAAAGCCUGACGGGGAACGGCGGCGGGAUUAAGGAAGGUUUUCGGUCCGUAAAACUUGGUGGGUAGGGAGAACGGUGGGGGAGAUUGAAAGGCCAAUAAAGUACGGGUAACAACCAGAAAGGGACGGCUAACUACGUG